rnacentral:rRNA from 1 species
AGCAGGAGGGACCACCCUCCAAGGCUAAAUACUACCUAGUGACCGAUAGCGUAUAGUACCGUGAGGGAAAGGUGAAAAGAACCCCGGGAGGGGAGUGAAAUAGAACCUGAAACCCUGCACUUACAAGCUGUGGAAGCACAUUUCUUGUGUGACCGCGUACUUUUUGUAGAACGGGCCAACGAGUUACGUUAAGUAGCAAGGUUAAGCACUUAAGGUG